rnacentral:rRNA from 1 species
GUCCACGCCCUAAACGAUGUCGACUGGUUGUUGGGGUUUGACACUCUCAGUAACGAAGCUAACGCGUGAAGUCGACCGCCUGGGGAGUACGGCCGCAAGGUUAAACUCAAAGGAAUUGACGGGGACCAGCACAAGCGGUGGAUUAUGUGGAUUAAUUCGAUGCAACGCGAAAACCUUACCUACCCUUGACAUGUCCUGGAGGCCCCAGAAAUGGGGCUGUGCCCCGAAAGGGAACGGGAACACAGGUGCUGCAUGGCUGUCGU